GGCUGCGGCGGGUGGGGGACGCGGCGGAAAGCCUUGCCUCCGGCGAGGCGGUGAUCGGCGCGCAGAUCGAUGCCGGUUAUGAAUCCGGCAGCGGCUU
rnacentral:tRNA from 1 species